UCUCCUCUCUGAUAUAACAGUACCAUGAAGGUUGCACUUGAAUACACCGCCGGGCUUGCAUCCGAUAAGUGUCGGUGCUUACGUUCCGUUUUCUUAUUGUCGAUGCGCUCUUGAGGCAUUCAGUCCUUUAUCUUCCUCAGUAUAUUUCUCCAUAGAUCAAUUACGUUCGUCUGGGAGAAGGUUGUCCCAAGAUUCCGGUUUUUCCCGUCAUUGAAUACCGAUAUUAGCUGUUACAGUGCAGGACGUUAGAAAUUCCAACCAACCGAAUAUUUUUGCCCUGGCUUCGUUGCCCUUCGUUGGCAUUUCACUGGAGUCUUCAUAUUGAUAUGAUCGCAGCAUACCGUCGGCCAUGUCCCAGUUCAUUCCUAGAAUACUGGUCUGGCUUGAUCACGUAAGAACGGCACAUUGAUGCGCAUUUAAAUUCUCAUUUCUUCACCGUUUGAUGUCCCUUUGCAAAUCAUCAUUGCAGCACAGCGAAUUUUUCUUGCUUCUGCCUUCACGGCUUCCGCCUCGUUUCUUAUGAUCCAAGCAUAACUUGAUCAUCGCAAACUUAUUUAUGUUUGCUGUCAUUGCAAGAAUUUCUUCCAAAACUCCUUAACAGUGUUGCUACAUCUGCAUUCAAAUUUCCUCCUGGCUGAAGAUAAUAAUUCAGAACAUUCCUGAUCUUAAUCACGACGCGUCAAAUACUACGCCUAAUUUUCUUGCUAGUAGGUCUUUUCGAAUUGCUUCAUAGCGCGAUAUGGUAGUUAUUGUUCAGAUUCUUCCGAGCACGCUCGCUUUUCCAUUCCAAGCGUGAAACAUCUCGUAUUGAACAGCCGUAUUUUUAUCUCGGUACUGAAUUCGUUUGUCUUCGAGAUCGUCUUCCGAUUGCCACUUCGUCGAUUUCCAUGUUAACUUGCUCUAUCCUUCUGAACAGUCCUUGUGACUACAUAGUCCACUUCAUGCAUCGUUUCUUUCUGAGGAGCUAAGCUAGUAUAUUCCACCAUCAAAAAGUUCAAAAUUGAAGUCGCCAGCUACUGCGGCGUCAAGAACCAUGGCGAGUUUAGCGUUUCGCAGUUCUACACCACAUGGGUCAGGCACGAUCCAUUCGGGCAUUUUCGAUUUUCCAUUGUAUCUUCGUUUCGUCUUUCUACUGGGCUUCCCUCCUGAUCUCCACUACUGGUUCUACAAUCCUGUUUUCAACUGCGGUCCUCAAGCGUACCCAGCGUGACCCUGCACUACACUACGGUCUGCGCUCCAAAAGCUUACUUCCGCCACGAGCAUCACCUGUUACAGGAGCGGCUAUUACUGCUUCUACAUUCCCUCGCCAGUGGCGUCCUGCUGGUAGACUGGACUUGUCUCCUCGCCCUGCACUAGUAAUGGUUCUGCAAUGCUGUUUCCAACUGCGGUCCUCAAGCGUACCCAGCGUGGCACUGCUCUACUCUACGGUCUGCGCUCCAAAAGAUUACUUCGGCCACGAGCAUCACCUGUUACAGGAGCGGCUGAUACUGCUUCUACAUUAUCUCGCUAGUGGCGUCCCUCGGGCAGACUGGACUUGUCUCCUCGCCCUGCGGUACUACUGGUUCUGCACACCAGUUUUCGAUUGCGGUGGGUAUCUAGCACACUCCUGCACAUCGACUCCACGGUCUGCGCCUGAAAAGACUACUUCGGCCACGAGCAUCACCUGUUCCAGGAGCUACCACUACUGCUUCUACAUUCCCUAGCCGGUGGCGUCCUGCUGGUAAAGUGGACUUGUCUCCUCGC